rnacentral:lncRNA from 1 species
UGGAGCUCAAUGCCCGGUGCGUGGAGAAUACGUGACCAAUGGCUGUCAACAUAUGAUGAUCUUGCUCCCAAGGGACAUCUGGCAGCACCGGGACACAUCACGGGAUUGUCAUGAUGAGCAGGGCCCACUCCUGGGUACCACCUAGGACCCCUUCCGGAUCUGCUGCAUGCAGCCAGGAGCACCCGGGCUCCUCUGCUGAAAGGGCCGAGCCCCCUGUGCUUCUACUCGCUUUCCACCGUGUCUCAUGGAAUCGAGAUGAUGUGUCUCUCAGGUUGUGGAACCUUUGCACUUGGACCCUGCUCACAAAAAGCCCUCUUCACUCACUAGGGUGGACUGUCUAAUAGAAAUAAAA